UGAGAGGAUGAUCAGUCACACUGGAACUUGAGACACGGUCCAGACUCCUACGGGAGGCAGCAGUGGGGAAUAUUGGACAAUGGGCGAAAGCCUGAUCCAGCCAUGCCGCGUGUGUGAAGAAGGUCUUCGGAUUGUAAAGCACUUUAAGUUGGGAGGAAGGGUACUUACCUAAUACGUGAGUAUUUUGACGUUACCGACAGAAUAAGCACCGGCUAACUCUGUGCCAGCAGCCGCGGUAAUACAGAGGGUGCAAGCGUUAAUCGGAAUUACUGGGCGUAAAGCGCGCGUAGGUGGUUUGUUAAGUUGGAUGUGAAAGCCCCGGGCUCAACCUGGGAACUGCAUCCAAAACUGGCAAGCUAGAGUAUGGUAGAGGGUGGUGGAAUUUCCUGUGUAGCGGUGAAAUGCGUAG
rnacentral:rRNA from 1 species